GACGAACGCUGGCGGCGUGCUUAACACAUGCAAGUCGAACGGAAAGGCCUCUUUCGGGGGGUACUCGAGUGGCGAACGGGUGAGUAACACGUGAGUAACCUGCCCUUUACUUUGGGAUAACUUCAGGAAACUGGGGCUAAUACCGGAUAGGAGCUCCUGCUGCAUGGUGGGGGUUGGAAAUUUUCGGCGGUUGGGGAUGGACUCGCGGCUUAUCAGCUUGUUGGUGGGGUAGUGGCUUACCAAGGCUUUGACGGGUAGCCGGCCUGAGAGGGUGACCGGCCACAUUGGGACUGAGAUACGGCCCAGACUCCUACGGGAGGAAGCAGUGGGGAAUAUUGCACAAUGGGUGGAAGCCUGAUGCAGCAACGCCGUGUGCGGGAUGACGGCCUUCGGGUUGUAAAACGCUUUCGCUCAUGACGAAGCUUUGUGUGACGGUAGUGGGUAAAGAAGCACCGGCUAACUACGUG
rnacentral:rRNA from 1 species